rfam:Mesocricetus auratus contig111255, whole genome shotgun sequence.
AUACAGAGAAGAUUUAAAAAGCUGAAUUCUUCCUGUUGGUGUAGUGGAGAAAACAGAAAAAUUCUGAGCAAG